CAACCCUCGGUCACCACCGGUUUUGAGCAAGCGGGGACCCCUCGGGGCCCGGCCGGCUUUAAAGUUGUAAGCUCUGCUGGCCGCUCCGCCUCGCUAGAACAUAGUAAAACCUACUUGUUCGCGGUCGAGGUCGGAAGCGGUACGGCCUGAACAAAACCUACCCAACUCUAAG
rnacentral:misc_RNA from 1 species